CUUUGGGAUAACUUCAGGAAACUGGGGCUAAUACCGGAUAGGAGCUCCUGCUGCAUGGUGGGGGUUGGAAAGUUUCGGCGGUCGGGGAUGGACUCGCGGCUUAUCAGCUUGUUGGUGGGGUAGUGGCUUACCAAGGCUUUGACGGGUAGCCGGCCUGAGAGGGUGACCGGCCACAUUGGGACUGAGAUACGGCCCAG
rnacentral:rRNA from 1 species